UACGUAGGUGGCGAGCGUUGUCCGGAAUUACUGGGUGUAAAGCGCGUGUAGGCGGGAGGCCAAGUCUGUGGUGAAAUCGCUCGGCUUAACUGGGCGGGGUCCAUGGAAACUGGUCACCUGGAGGUCGGUAGAGGCAAGUGGAAUUCCCGGUGUAGUGGUGAAAUGCGUAGAGAUCGGGAGGAACACCAGUGGCGAAGGCGGCUUGCUGGGCCGGACCUGACGCUGAGACGCGAAGGCGUGGGAG
rnacentral:rRNA from 1 species